AGGAAAUGGAAGAGGCAUCUGCACCUCAGACUGUCUUGAACGCGCUUCCCGCGAGCACUCCUCCCCUCCCCUUGUUUAGCGGCGACAGUGGUUCUCCUCUCUCCUUCCGUCGCGCGCUCGUCCGGACCAAGGAAGUCUCCUUCGGCGGCGGACACAGCAAGUUCCGGCUUGCCGUGGCGCCGUCCCACUCUCCCUGGAUGCUAUCCAUGAGUGCCGGAUCUUGCUCCGGCGCAACCGAAGCCGUGCAUGAGCAAUCUUCGUCCGAUUUAUUGCCCCGCCGAGCAGUUCGGGCGGAUCCAAGGCAGCGGCGAUUUGGAAGCAAGCGACGACAAGGCGCGUGCACCGGCGACCCAGGAACGGCGGCGUCGCCAGCAGGCCUCGGCGGGGAAGGAGAUUCGUCUCGCCGAGCUGGAGGAUCCGCCUCCGUCUUGGUUGGCUGACAAUCGGAGAAGGGACGGUCCCAAGCGUCGCCGCCUUCGUUGUCGACCGUACCUCAUCUUUGUUGUCCCAAGACGGUCCUAAACCUUCUUACCCCAAGCGGCGUAGGCAGCACCAAGAUCCAUCCGCAUUGCACACCUCAUUACGCCGUUCCUCAUCUUUGGAUCUGCAGCAUAUUGGAAAAUCGCCGCCCUCGUGUUCGUGUUUCUUUUUUAAGCAUAGGAUGGUCCGGUUAAUAGAACGAUGAAACAUUUAUUAGUAAGGGAAAUAAAAAUUAAUUUGCAAUUAAUAGCUCGUGUGAUAAUG
rnacentral:misc_RNA from 1 species